CCCAGGCUGGAGUGCACAUUCAAGUGAUCCUCUGGCCUCAGCCUCCAGAGUAGCUGGGACUACAGUCAUAUGCCAUCAUACCCCACUAGUUUUUUGGGUUUGUUUUUGUAGAGAUGGGGUCUCACUAUGCUGCCCAGGCUGGUCUCAAACUCCUGGCCUGAAGUGAUCCUUCCACCUUGGCCUCCCAAAGUGCUGGGAUUACAG
rnacentral:lncRNA from 1 species